UGGCAUAAGACAUGCAAGUCAGAACGGACCAUUAAUUUAUUAGUGGUUAGUGGCGUAAGGGUUAGUAACGGGUAGGUAACGUACCCUGUGCUCUGGGAUAGCGUCACGUCCCUUCGGGGACUUUCCGAAAGGGGCGGUAAUACCGGAUAAUAUCAUUUGUGCCGAUAGGCAAAUGAUCAAAGAUUUAUCGGCGCAGGAGCGGCCUGCCUCCUAUCAGCUUGUUGGUGGGGUAACGGCUCACCAAGGCAACGACGGGUAGCGGGACUGAGAGGUUGUUCCGCAACAUCGGGACUGAGACACUGCCCGGACCUCCACGGAGGGCUGCAGUAACGGAUAUUGCGCAAUGGGCGAAAGCCUGACGCAGCGACGCCGCGUGUAGGAGGAAGUCCCUCGGGAUGUAAACUACUGUCAGGGGUAAGAAAGUGCGCUUCGGCGUAUUGAUCCCACCCAGAGGAAGUCACGGCUAACUUCGUGCCAGCAGCCGCGGUAAGACGAAGGUGGCAAGCGUUGUUCGGUAUCACUGGGCUUAAAGCGUGUGUAGGCGGAAAAGUAAGCGUCUUGUGAAAGCCCCCGGCUCAACCGGGGAAUUGCGUGACGAACUGCUUUUCUUGAGGCAAGUAGGGGUGCAUGGAACUCUUGGGUGGAGCGGGUGGAAUGCGUAGAUAUCAAGAGGAACGCCAGUGGAGAAAUCGGUGCACUGGGCUUGUCCUGACGCUGAGACACGAAAGCGUGGGGAGCGAACCGGAUUAGAUACCCCGGUAGUCCACGCCGUAAACGAUGCCUACUAGGUUGUGGUGGUUCUGACACUUGCACAGCCGAAGCAAAAGUGCUAAGUAGGCCGCCUGGGGAGUACGGUCGCAAGGCUAAAACUCAAAGGAAUUUGACGGGGGCUCACACAAGCGGUGGAGCAUGUGGAUUAAUUCGAAGCAACGCGUAGAACCUUACCUGGGUUUGACAUGCAUGGAUGCCUGCCGGGAAACCGGUUGGGUUGCCCUUCGGGGUGAAACUUGCACAGGUGCUGCAUGGCUGUCGUCAGCUCGUGUCGUGAGAUGUCGGGUUAAGUCCUUUAACGAGCGAAACCCUUACCAUUAGUUGCCAGCGGGUCAUGCCGGGGACUCUAAUGGGACUGCCGGUGUUAAACCGGAGGAAGGUGGGGAUGACGUCAAGUCAUCAUGGCCUUUAUGCCCAGGGCCUCACACGUGCUACAAUGGCGAUCACAAAGCGACUGCAAGACCGCGAGGUGGAGCAAAUCGCAAAAAGAUCGCCCCAGUUCGGAUUGCAGGCUGGCAACUCGCCUGCAUGAAGUCGGAAUCGCUAGUAAUCGCGUAUCAGCUACGACGCGG
rnacentral:rRNA from 1 species